rnacentral:lncRNA from 1 species
UGGAUCUGCGCUAUGAACCAACAGUUCUGGCUGCUUAGAGAACACAGGUUUAGGGUAGCCUUGUGCCCACAAGAGAACAUCUUUACACUGUAGGUUAUUCCCUUUCUUUCAAAUUCUUUCCAGAACUGUAACAUGUCGCGAGCCGGCAACGCAGAGCACUGUCCAGCAGUGUCUCAAACCUGAAAGACCAGCGGGGUGGAGAUGGGGCAGAGAGAAAGGAAGGACGCCAAGACAAGAGUCUGAUCAAGGCGGCGUUUAUUGCCGGCAAGCACCGGCCUUUUAAAGCAAAAAACCACAAACUAUUAUGGGAUGGGUUUACCAUAGUAACUGAAAGGUCACACAGGAAAAGAGCAAACAGGUUCACCAAAACAACCCACCGUGAGUAGUAGUAACCCGGACAACCACACAUCUAAAGGUCACACAGGAAAAGAGCAAACAGGUUCACCAAAACAACCCACCGUGAGUAGUAGUAACCCGGACAACCACACAUCUAAAGGUCAGAGACAAGAAACUGUAGCUUUCAGGAAUUCCACAAAGGAAACACUCUACCUGCUAAACUGGAGAAACUUAACACAUAUAGAGUUACUAAAGUUAACAAUACUUACAACCAAUACUCAUGAUCCCCAC